rnacentral:tRNA from 1 species
GGGGUUGUAGCUCAGUGGAAGAGCGUUUGCCUAGCAUGUAUGAGGCACUGAGUUUGAUUCUCAGCACCA